rnacentral:rRNA from 1 species
GACGAACGCUGGCGGCGUGCUUAACACAUGCAAGUCGAACGGAAAGGCCCUGCUUUUGUGGGGUGCUCGAGUGGCGAACGGGUGAGUAACACGUGAGUAACCUGCCCUUGACUUUGGGAUAACUUCAGGAAACUGGGGCUAAUACCGGAUAGGAGCUCCUGCUGCAUGGUGGGGGUUGGAAAGUUUCGGCGGUUGGGGAUGGACUCGCGGCUUAUCAGCUUGUUGGUGGGGUAGUGGCUUACCAAGGCUUUGACGGGUAGCCGGCCUGAGAGGGGGACCGGCCACAUUGGGACUGAGAUGAGGCACAGACUCCUACGGGAGGCAGCGGUGGGGAAUAGUGCACAAUGGGCGGAAGCCUGAUGCAGCAACGCCGCGUGCGGGAUGACGGCCUUCCGGUUGUAAACCGCUUUCGCCUGUGACGAAGCGUGAGUGACGGUAAUGGGUAAAGAAGCACCGGCUAACUACGUG